UUCAUCAUGAGCUUCACGUUUUUGCAAAAUUGAAAGCACAAAUCAAAUGCCUCUAUCGAGAGGACUUCAUCCAACAGUAGAUCCAAGCAAAAAAGUCCAUGGAUGAAGAGAAUCGAGGAAAUUACCAGUUGGAGUGCAAGCUUGAGUUCUACUGAAUGGAGCAUGAAACCUUGCUUGCUUUAUCAAAACAGAAGUCCAAUGGAUCAAGGUGAAGAGGUCUAGGAACUUUUAGAUCAAAGAAAACAGUUGAGGAAACUGAAUUCUAGAUCUGAAAUUUUUAUUUAUCAAAACAGAAGUCCAAUGGAUCAAGGUGAAGAGGUCUAGGAACUUUUAGAUCAAAGAAAACAGUUGAG
rnacentral:lncRNA from 1 species